ensembl:lncRNA
GGGGGCGACGCCGGGCCCUAAGCGCCUCCUCCGCCCCCGCCCCGCAGGCAGCGGGAGGACGGAUCGGGGCGGGGGGGGUCCGAGUGUCCCUAUCCCAGAUCCCGCCCCGACACCUCCCCGCGCCUCGGGACCUCCCCCGGCAGCCCUCCCCCCAUUCCUCUUCCCCCCCCCCCCCGCCCCCCCCAAAGUCUCCCUUCCCAAAUUCCUCCUCCCAAAUACCCCCGCAACUGUCCCACCUCCCAGCUAUCCCCCCCUCCCCCCCCCCGCCAAAUAUCCCUCCCCAAUAGGAACCCCCAAAGAUCCCCUCCCCGAUAUCCCCUCCCCAAAUACGCCUUCCCCAAACGCACCCCCCAAGUAACCCCCCUCCCAAGCACCCCCACCCAGAAACCUCCCCAAGUACCCCCCCACCAAAUGCCCCUCCCAAAUACCCCCCCACCCAAAAUACCUCCCCCUAACCCCCCCCCAAUACACUCUCCCCAAACCCUUUCCAUACACACCCAGAAAGUCUUCCCUCCCCAAACCACUCCUUAAAUACCCCAACCCCCCAAAUACCCUCUCCCAAACGCCCCCCCCAAAUAUUCCCUCACCAAAACACCCCCCCAAAUACCCCCUCCCCAAACGAUUGCCCCCCCCCCGAGGCAUAACCCCCCACCAUAUAUCCCCUACAUCACGAUAAAUGCCACUGUUCCCAAUUGGGAUCAAAAGCCACGGCUGUAUUUUCACCCUCUGUCUUCAUACCACCCCAAUGCUUCGAGUCCAGUCCUGCAGACGUCAGGGUUAGAUAAAACCCCUGUGAAAUGGCCCCAGGAGAGGGAUGUGGACCCAGAAGAGGAAUGUGGACCCCAAAGCCCCCUCAGCACCGCAGGCCUAACAGUGGGGUGAGGACAGAAUGCCCUCUCAGUCUUCAACUGUGCCCCAAAGUGGAGCAUUUCCCCCUUGGAGUCAAUGUGGGGACACCCAGAGAUGCUCAUCCCCAUCUCCCCUCGGGGAAGGAGGGGCACCCGAAGCCCCAUCCCUGCUUCCCUGUCGCUUUAAGUCCCGGCUGUGCGUUUUCCACGUGGAGAUUUUUUCCUUUUCUCCUUUUAUCCCUCCCUUCUUCCCCUGCCCGGACUAUGGGGCCAGCACAGGGUCGGAUGGGGAUGAGUGCCCGAGCGGGGCUCACUCCGGCACUGGGCGCCACCGUGGGGACCGAAGUGACCCCCGGGUCCCCCCACAGCUGCGUGCCCCCCGUUUCUUUCUUUCCCCGUCCUUCCCUCUGCGCUCCUCCCUUCUCCCCGCAGGGACUGGAAAUACCAGAGUUGAUGUCAUAGGCAGCGGUUCGCCAGGACGGGAAGCUCAGCCCAGCCUCCCCCUGCUGCGUCCCCGUGUCCUAUGGCUCUGUGUGGGGAUGCGGGGAUGUGGGGUCAUGGGGUUGCUCCCCAGCUCCCCAGCCCUGCACACAACCAGGUUGCGGGCACACAACCCCACAGCCGGCUUACCCCCCUCGGCUGUCCUCAGACCCCCCCUUGACUCCAAUACCCCAUACCUGGGUGUCCCACACGGCUCGCUGCCCCCUCCCCAAGCACGAAGGAGCACCGAGCAGUGCCAGCAGCUCCGCCACGUCAUCCACGAGACAACACUGUGGCAUUGGAGACACCAUCCCCAUCUCCUUCACUGGGGGACACAGGACCCCACCCCACAUCCCCCAGUGGGGUGGCCACGUGCCCGUCCCCAAGCAGGACCCUGGGCCACUAGUGGAGGUAGUGACACUGCAGCAUGGGGGGGCCAGCACCCACUAGAUGGUGCCAGCAGCCCACGCUUGGGUGGGGACAGCCACCCCCUUGGUGUCCCACUUGUCCCCUUCUCAUCUCUUUUACCUCUCCCCGUAUAACCAAACCGGCUGCAAGGAUCACCACUUCUGCACCAUUUCCCCAUCGAUGUGGUUUCUGGCGCGGUUCGGAUCGAUGCUUGCUUAAACUCUUAGGGUUUCCCAGUAUCACGGAACUGCGCCAGGCUCCCCUCCAACCUCUGCAUCCUCACUCAGGCAAAAAGAAGUGCCGAUUUCAUUUAAAAAAGGACUUUCCCCUCGGUUUUAAUGCAAGACUCGGUGGUUUCCAACCCUCCUCCCAGCUGGCACCUGGGGGCUUCCCAUUCCUCCCAGCAUCCGCCCGAUGCUCGCCCAUGGGAGGGACCAAAAGCCAAUGGUGACAGCAUCUGAGGGUCACUAUGGGGAUUCAGGGAGGUCCUCCAACCUUCAUUUCUUUCUGCAGUACAUCACCUCCAUUUUGCCCGCGGGAGGAAUCCGUGCUGCUGAGCGUGGUGGCUGCUUGCUCCGGAGCGCGUCAACACGCUCGGAUCUCACCUCUACACCUCUAGAAGUGAAAGGCUGAUUCUCUCCGUGCCAUGCCGGGGGACCCCCCCAAAGCCACCCGGCCCUUGGUGGCACCCCAUGACGAGUGCUGGUCCCUGUAAGCCGGUUAGGUUGGCUCCCAGCUGCUACAAGGCUGAUUACCAGUAUGCUCCCGUUUAUCCCAUGAAAGCCGCCUCGCGCCGUGAAUCCGCCCGUGCCACGGCAUCUAAACCU